UACAGAGGUCUCAAGCGUUGUUCGGAUUUAUUGGGCGUAAAGGGUGCGUAGGCGGCGCGGUAAGUCGGGUGUGAAAUCUCGGAGCUUAACUCCGAAACUGCAUUCGAUACUGCCGUGCUUGAGGACUGGAGAGGAGACUGGAAUUUACGGUGUAGCGGUGAAAUGCGUAGAUAUCGUAAGGAAGACCAGUGGCGAAGGCGGGUCUCUGGACAGUUCCUGACACUGAGACACGAAGGCCAGGGGAGCAAACGGG
rnacentral:rRNA from 1 species